CUCUGUCCUCACAGCGAGUGCAGUUGCUGUUGGCUGGUUGGAGAGCAUUUGGGUUUCUAGGCUGGUGAGCCACUGCGCUCGGAUCUUUGUGAGUUGUUGAAUCUGAACACAAGCUUGGUUCUAGUCAAGUCAUGAGAGCCUGAUGAUGCAGCAGGAUCUGAAGGUCUGCUCCUUGAUUGAGGAAAACUUCUCCAUUGGACGAAAGAAACUUUUCAGUGGUGAAACAGACCUUCCAUAUCACCACAUUGACCUCUGUGUCUGUAAAAAUUCUUCGAAACAUCAAGAAGUACACCUCACUGCUCUGCAAGGAUGCCAGGAUUAUGAAAAUCCUUAGCCAUUCUAACAUUAUCAAGCGUUUCAUGUGGUCCAGAGAAGAGCGAUCACUUACAAGGUGAUGGAGUGUGCCUCAGAGGGAGAGCUACUAGAUCUCAUCAUUGAAGGCGGUCUUUAGAGGAGAGCUAGUCUUGGAGACUGUUUGUUCAGAUAGUACAUGCUGUGCAGUACUGCCACAACAAUCACAUUGACCAUUGAGACACAAAGGCCAGCUAUUUUGACUGAUUACAGGGGCAAACCCAAGAUGUCUGAUUUUGGCCUUGCCGCUAAAGUAAUUCCUAGGCAGAAACUGGCAAAUUUCUGUGGCACAUUGCCCUACUGUGCCUCAGAACUCUUGUAAGCAGAGGUGUAAGAGGGCUACCCAGUGGAUAUCUGUAGUUUAAUGGUCCUCCUUUUCCUCAUGUUGUCUGGGAGCCUGCCUUUCUAAGGCAGGUCUUUUGAGGAGGUGAUCCUUGCUGCAAACUUCAGCAUUCCUCCUCAUGUUUCCAUUGAUAUUUUCAAUGUCGUCAUUGAAAUGCUAAUGAUCAAUCCCAGCAAGAGGCUCAACAUUCACCAAAUCAAGACACACCCCAUGAUCAGGGACUGUGAGUCAUGUUUACCACCUACUUCCACACAGGUUUUCCCAGACACUCCAAGCCCUAGCAAUGUCAGGAGCAUGAGAGUCAUUGCAUAUAAGCCUGACAGGAAUAUGUCCUCCUGCACACCUCAGGAGGAGCUCUGUGGAUCCCUGCAGGCACCUAAGAUUUAUACCCUCACAGGCUUCUCCCCUGGGUAUACUUUGGAGAAAGACGCCCUCAUGGAGGAAAAGAACCUCACCCAGGAAGAUGCCAUCAAAUAGGAAAAGGCUCCUUCAGAAUGUCUCCAUCAUUUAGGAAGAGCUCAUUACUGAUGUCCAUCCUCAGGAUGUAGGCUGAACUUGCCCUCAUACCUGGCAACAUCACUGGAUGGGGGUGAGGAAGACAAUCAUGAACUCUCUGAAACCUCUGCUGCUGCUGCCACAACCAAAAAGAAGUCAUCUCCCAUAAGAACCUGGCUCUGAGGAAAGGAGAUCUUGGAGUCAUCUUCAAGACCAGAUUGUGCCAACAUCACUCAAAGCAUGAGGCACAUAGAAACCUGAGUUACAGACAUGGAUGGUCCCUCCAACAAAAUGUCUGCCAUCAUUUUGAACACAAGACCACAAGGGUCCUGGCAUCGUAUUCCUGCUGGGAUUUCUGUUGAAUUCAUCAGCAUGACCCUACAGCAUUCUACUGUUGUAAAACACAAUCUUAUUUAGUACCUUCAUGGUCCACUGAGAAACACUAAACUCUUGUAGGACAGAUAUAUGCACUUACCCCAAUCUGAAAAGAGAUGGGUGUCUUAGUCCACUCUGUGGCAGGAAGAGCACCAUUGGACCCAAUGCUCACCAAUCCACAAUGAACAACUCUGGGAAAGUUUAUUUCACAAGUUCUGUGCUGGCCUUAGCUACUGGAACAGACUGAGAUACUCAGACAAAACCAAGGAGGACUUCUCAGCAACUCUGAUCAGUCUGGCUGGAAUCAUCAUUUUUCCUUGCCAUCCAUGCACUUGAGUCUGAAACCCCUGGCGAGUCCAUGUCUCUCUCUGUGUCUCUGUUCCUGUCCCGUCUUGUACAUGAACAACUUCCAGGCAGGCAGGUCUCGAGUGCUCUUUCAUAAAAUGGACCCCUAGGGAAUUGUGAAACACUGGAGCUGGCCAUAAAUGUCAAACACAAAACACAAACAUAAAAUUUAAAAUCACAAUUGAUGGAAAGAGAUAUAGGAAAUUAAAACCAACAGACAAACAGCUCCAACAACAACAACAACAACAACAACAACAACAGCAGCAGAAACAACAACAACAGCAACAACAACAAGAAAAAUCCAUGAAAAUGUCACUCUUAAUAAUAGACACACAGGGGCUGGAGAGAUGGCUCAGUGGUUAAGAGCACUGACUGCUCUUCCAGAGGUCCUGAGUUAAAAUCCCAGCAACCACAUGGUGGCUCACAACCAUCUGUAAUGGGAUCUGAUGCCCUCUUCUGGUAUGUCUGAAGAUGGCUACAGUGUA
ensembl:lncRNA